CCUCCUCGAUCUGCUGCGGGCAGAUGAAAUGGAUAUGGCUAUCGAUGAAACCGGCGGUCAGGAUCUUGCCCUCACCGGCGAUCACGUCGGUCGUCGGGCCGACGAUGAUGGUCACGCCGGGCUGGAUAUCCGGGUUGCCGGCCUUGCCGAUUCCCGCGAUGCGCCCGUCGCGGAUGCCCACAUCGGCCUUCACGAUGCCCCAGUGGUCGAUGAUCAGGGCGUUGGUGAUGACGGUAUCGACGGCGCCGCCCGCCCGCGUGACCUGCGACUGGCCCAUGCCGUCGCGG
rfam:Oceanibaculum indicum P24 contig15, whole genome shotgun sequence.